rnacentral:rRNA from 1 species
GAUGAACGCUGGCGGCGUGCCUAAUACAUGCAAGUCGAGCGAACGGACGAGAAGCUGGCUUCUCUGAUGUUAGCGGCGGACGGGUGAGUAACACGGGGAUAACCUACCUAUAAGACUGGGAUAACUUCGGGAAACCGGAGCUAAGACCGGAUGAUAUUUUGAACCGCAUGGUUCAAAAGUGAAAGACGGUCGUGCUGUCACUUAUAGACGGAUCCGCGCUGCAUUAGCUUGUGGGUAAGGUAACGGCUUACCAAGGCAACGAUGCAUAGCCGACCUGAGAGGGUGAUCCGCCACCCUGGCACUGAGGCACGGUCCCGACUCCUACGGGAGGCCACAGUAGGGACUCUUACGCGAUGGGCCAGUGCCUGACGGAGCACCGCCGCGUGAGUGCUGAAGGUCUUCGGCUCGUAAAGCUCUGUUAUUAGGGGAGAACAAAUGUGUAAGUACCUGUGCACAUAUUGACGGUACCUAGUCAGAAAGCCCCGGCUAACUCCGUG